UACGUAGGGGGCAAGCGUUGUCCGGAAUUAUUGGGCGUAAAGAGCUCGUAGGCGGUUUGUCGCGUCGGCCGUGAAAUCUCCACGCUUAACGUGGAGCGUGCGGUCGAUACGGGCAGACUUGAGUUCGGUAGGGGAGACUGGAAUUCCUGGUGUAGCGGUGAAAUGCGCAGAUAUCAGGAGGAACACCGGUGGCGAAGGCGGCGAGCUGGCCUGUGACUGACGCUGAGGCGCGACAGCGUGGGGAGCAAACAGG
rnacentral:rRNA from 1 species